rnacentral:rRNA from 1 species
CCUACGGGUGGCAGCAGUGGGGAAUAUUGCACAAUGGGCGCAAGCCUGAUGCAGCAACGCCGCGUGAGGGAUGACGGCCUUCGGGUUGAAACCUCUUUUAGCAGGGAAGCGGUACCUGCAGAAAAAGCGCCGGCUAACUACGUGCCAGCAGCCGCGGUAAUACGUAGGGCGCAAGCGUUAUCCGGAAUUAUUGGGCGUAAAGAGCUCGUAGGCGGUUUGUCGCGUCUGCUGUGAAAUCCGGGGGCUCAACCUCGGGCCUGCAGUGGGUACGGGCAGACUAGAGUGCGGUAGGGGAGAUUGGAAUUCCUGGUGUAGCGGUGGAAUGCGCAGAUAUCAGGAGGAACACCGAUGGCGAAGGCAGAUCUCUGGGCCGUACUGACGCUGAGGAGCGAAAGGGUGGGGAGCAAACAGGAUUAGAUACCCUAGUAGUC